rnacentral:rRNA from 1 species
AGAGUUUGAUCCUGGCUCAGGAUGAACGCUGGCGGCGUGCUUAACACAUGCAAGUCGAACGAUCCCUCGGGAUAGUGGCGGACGGGUGAGUAACGCGUGGGAAUCUGCCCUCAGGAGGGGGAUAACGGCUGGAAACGGCCGCUAAUACCCCAUAUGCCGAGAGGUGAAAUGAAUUUCGCCUGAGGAUGAGCCCGCGUCUGAUUAGCUAGUUGGUGGGGUAAAGGCCUACCAAGGCGACGAUCAGUAGCUGGUCUGAGAGGAUGAUCAGCCACACUGGGACUGAGACACGGCCCAGACUCCUACGGGAGGCAGCAGUGGGGAAUUUUCCGCAAUGGGCGAAAGCCUGACGGAGCAACGCCGCGUGAGGGAUGAAGGCCUCUGGGCUGUAAACCUCUUUUCUCAAGGAAGAAGAACUGACGGUACUUGAGGAAUAAGCCACGGCUAAUUCCGUGCCAGCAGCCGCGGUAAUACGGGAGUGGCAAGCGUUAUCCGGAAUUAUUGGGCGUAAAGCGUCCGCAGGCGGCCUUGUAAGUCUGUUGUUAAAGCGUGGAGCUCAACUCCAUUUAAGCAAUGGAAACUACAAGGCUGGAGUGUGGUAGGGGCAGAGGGAAUUCCCGGUGUAGCGGUGAAAUGCGUAGAUAUCGGGAAGAACACCAGUGGCGAAGGCGCUCUGCUGGGCCAUAACUGACGCUCAUGGACGAAAGCCAGGGGAGCGAAAGGGAUUAGAUACCCCUGUAGUCCUGGCCGUAAACGAUGAACACUAGGUGUCGGGGGAAUCGACCCCCUCGGUGUCGUAGCCAACGCGUUAGGUGUUCCGCCUGGGGAGUACGCACGCAAGUGUGAAACUCAAAGGAAUUGACGGGGGCCCGCACAAGCGGUGGAGUAUGUGGUUUAAUUCGACGCAACGCGAAGAACCUUACCAGGGUUUGACAUCCUGCGAAUCCCUUGGAAACGAGGGAGUGCCUUCGGGAGCGCAGUGACAGGUGGUGCAUGGCUGUCGUCAGCUCGUGUCGUGAGAUGUUGGGUUAAGUCCCGCAACGAGCGCAACCCACGUCUUUAGUUGCCAGCAUUCAGUUGGGCACUCUAGAGAGACCGCCGGUGAUAAACCGGAGGAAGGUGUGGAUGACGUCAAGUCAUCAUGCCCCUUACAUCCUGGGCUACACACGUACUACAAUGCUACGGACAAAGGGCAGCAAGCUCGCGAGAGUUAGCAAAUCCCAUAAACCGUGGCUCAGUUCAGAUCGUAGGCUGCAACUCGCCUACGUGAAGGAGGAAUCGCUAGUAAUCGCAGGUCAGCAUACUGCGGUGAAUACGUUCCCGGGCCUUGUACACACCGCCCGUCACACCAUGGAAGUUGGCCAUGCCCGAAGUCGUUACUCCAACCCUUGUGGAGGAGGACGCCGAAGGUGGGGCUGAUGACUGGGGUGAAGUCGUAACAAGGUA